rnacentral:rRNA from 1 species
GGGAGGUAGUGAAAAAAAUAGACAAUACGGGACUCGUCCGAGGCCUCGUAAUUGGAAUGAGUACAAUCUAAAUCCCUUAACGAGGAUCUAUUGGAGGGCAAGUCUGGUGCCAGCAGCCGCGGUAAUUCCAGCUCCAAUAGCGUAUAUUAAAGUUGUUGCGGUUAAAAAGCUCGUAGUUGAAUCUCAGUUCUGGACGUGCACGGGUCCGCCAACACACUGGUGGACUGCUGACAUGCCUGGAGCAAAACCGCCCGGCUUGUCCCACGGUGCUCUUGACCGAGUGUUGUGGGUGGCCGACACGUUUACUUUGAGAAAACCAGAGUGCUUAAAGCAGGCGCAAGACGCCCGAAUGACUGUGCAUGGAAUAAUGGAAAAGGAUCUCGCUUCUGUCUUUGUUGGUUCUUCGGAAGGCGAGAUAAUGAUUAAUAGGGACAGACGGGGGCAUUCGUAUUGCGACGUUAGAGGUGAAAUUCUUGGAUCGUCGCACGACGAACUACUGCGAAAGCAUUUGCCAAGAAUGUUUUCGUUAAUCAAGAACGAAAGUUAGAGGUUCGAAGGCGAUCAGAUACCGCCCUAGUUCUAACCAUAAACGAUGCCAACUGGCGAUCCGCCCCAGUUAAAUGCACGACUGGGCGGGCAGCCUCCGGGAAACCAAAGUCUUUGGGUUCCGGGGGAAGUAUGGUUGCAAAGCUGAAACUUAAAGGAAUUGACGGAAGGGCACCACCAGGAGUGGAGCCUGCGGCUUAAUUUGACUCAACACGGGAAACCUCACCAGGCCCGGACACCAAAAGGAUUGACAGAUUGAGAGCUCUUUCUUGAUUUGGUGGGUGGUGGUGCAUGGCCGUUCUUAGUUGGUGGAGCGAUUUGUCUGGUUAAUUCCGAUAACGAACGAGACUCUAGCCUGCUAACUAGCCGGUGGAUCACUUUUUUUCAUGCGGCGAACUAGCUCCAUUCCUCCGGGUUUGGACUGGAUAGCUGCGUCCAUUGCGUCUUCUUAGAGGGACAGGCGGCUCAUAGCCGCACGAGACGGAGCAAUAACAGGUCUGUGAUGCCCUUAGAUGUCCUGGGCCGCACGCGCGCUACACUGGAGGAAUCAGCGUGCACUCCCUGCCCGAGAGGGCCGGGUAACCCGCUGAAAUUCCUUCGUGAUUGGGAUCGGGGUUUGCAACUAUCCCCCGUGAACGAGGAAUUCCCAGUAAGCGUGAGUCAUGAGCUCGCGUUGAUUACGUCCCUGCCCUUUGUACACACCGCCCGUCGCUACUACCGAUUGAAUGAUUUAGUGAGGCCUUUGGACUGGCUCGCCGGUGCGCGUCAUCUUUCGGGUUGGCGUCGUAACUGGUUGAUUCGGGCCCG